GAUGAACGCUGGCGGCGUGCCUAAUACAUGCAAGUCGAGCGAACGGACGAGAAGCUUGCUUUUCUGAUGUUAGCGGCGGACGGGUGAGUAACACGUGGAUAACCUACCUAUAAGACUGGGAUAACUUCGGGAAACCGGAGCUAAUACCGGAUAAUAUUUUGAACCGCAUGGUUCAAAAGUGAAAGACGGUCUUGCUGUCACUUAUAGAUGGAUCCGCGCUGCAUUAGCUAGUUGGUAAGGUAACGGCUUACCAAGGCAACGAUGCAUAGCCGACCUGAGAGGGUGAUCGGCCACCCUGGAACUGAGACACGGUCCAGACUCCUACGGGAGGCAGCAGUAGGGAAUCUUCCGCAAUGGGCGAAAGCCUGACGGAGCAACGCCGCGUGAGUGAUGAAGGUCUUCGGAUCGUAAAACUCUGUUAUUAGGGAAGAACAUAUGUGUAAGUAACUGUGCCCAUCUUGACGGUACCUAAUCAGAAAGCCACGGCUAACUACGUG
rnacentral:rRNA from 1 species